UACGUAGGGGGCAAGCGUUGUCCGGAAUUACUGGGCGUAAAGGGCGUGUAGGCGGCAAUCUAAGUCAGGUGUGAAAGUCCACGGCUCAACCGUGGAAUUGCAUUUGAAACUGGUUUGCUUGAGUGCAGGAGAGGAGAGCAGAAUUCCUAGUGUAGCGGUGAAAUGCGUAGAUAUUAGGAGGAAUACCAGUGGCGAAGGCGGCUCUCUGGACUGUAACUGACGCUGAGGCGCGAAAGCGUGGGUAGCGAACAGG
rnacentral:rRNA from 1 species